AGGACUUGGUGAGUGUUAAAAUGAUAUUUUUUUUUGCAUCCAGUUGAUAUUUCAUGUUUAUUUUUGGUAAAUUUCUUGAAACGAAAGACUAAGGUAUUGAGUUUAUGUUGUUUUAUGUAUUUAUUGUCAAUUUGUAGAAAUGUUGGCACAUUAAAGUAGUGAAGGCUCCGCCAUUACGCCUGCGUAACUUAAGAGUUCUGUUAACACGAAACUGACGUAUUUUUAUUUAUUCCUGCGGGUUUCCUUAGUAUUUUAAUGUCCUUAUUUUAAGUGUAUUUUAUGUUGGUAUGAUAGGCCAUUAAGAUUCGGCCGAUAAAAACGGACUCCUCAAUUCGGGAUCCAUGUGAGGGAGAAAACAAGAUGGCGAGCCAACCCUUGAUGUUAUCCUAGCAAAGGACCAAGCGCCCUCUGCUGGACAUUUGACAACCCUUUUCUUCUUUGGAACUGGUGUGCCACAUCAGGAUGCUGAUCUGACAUCACGAUUAGUGCACAGGUGUGCCUUAGACUGCCCACAAUAAAAGACCACGCUGAAAUGUGCAGUUUUGUCUCACAGCAAAAUGCCACAGAUGUCACAAGCAUUGAGGGAGCGUGUAAUCGGCAUGCUGACAGCAGGAAUGUCAACCAAAUCUGUUGCUCGUGCAUUCAAUGUUCAUUUCUCCACCAUAAGCCGUCUCCAAAGGCGUUUCAGAGAAUAUGGCAGUACGUCCAACCGCAGGCCACGUGUAACCACACCGCUGGCCUCGACUUUGACACGUGUUCUACAGGUAUGUUGCAGGUGACAAGUCAUAGUCUGGGCCCACCAUGGUCGUAGUGAACACUUGUACAACAGGUAAGGGUGAAAUAGUUGAGAUGCAGGUGUGUAUGAUUCUGCACAAGAAGCCCAUAAUUGCUGUUCACAUGAUAAGUGCGCGCUCCUUUCUGCAACCUGAUUGUUAGAAAUUAGACAAUCGGAGUGUAAUUUGUGCGAACAUUACUACAGGUACCUAAUGGGACUAUUAUCCAUAAUCCUUAUACUUCAUAGUACACGCACAUCAGUGGUUCUUCCAUUUUCACAACGUCCCUUGAGGUGGCCGUACAAGCCUAAAGGGAACUGCAAGACACCUGCGCUCCCCUCAAGAGCUGCAGCACUCAGACGCCUCGUGAUCUUAUUGUGCGAUUUCUUCGCACCCAUUUUUAAAAUUGAAUCAGACAAAAGCAAAGUAGAGUAGGACCUUUUCCUUCUAUGCUUCCACAUGUUGCUGAGGACUCUAGUUUGAGGUUCAGUACAAAGGAAACAACAAUAGAGUUUUUACCAAAUCUUCAGGCUCACACCUUAAAUGUCAUUCUCACACAGGUCCGAGAGCGUGCCCUUCUCCACGCUGUUUCAGCGGAGCGUUUGGAUGAAGGAUGACGGAUCAGGAUGUCUGCUCAUACACGUGUGCUUUACUACAAACACUCAUCGGGCGUCGGUACUACACCAGAGUCGGUAAGACCAUUUGUUUUUCUCUACAAAUGGCUGGAGGACGUUGAAAUGAACCCUCACCUGUUCUUCCCUCUGUUGGACCGCUGGGAUGAGACAGAGUCUGGACUGUGAGGACAGUGAGAGUUUAUCAUGAGGAAAAGUUCAGAAAACAAACUGCGUGAACAAAAGCCUCCGCUGGAAACAUUGAGCUGAUACCUCGUGGUUGAAUCCUGCUCAUCUGACUGCUGCUCAUCAAGCCCGGGUGCUGCUCUCCUUAAAUUAAAAAGGAUGCGGUGAACGUUAUUUUAAGGAAAGGCUGAUUUCAACAAAAUGAAAGCUGCAAGCUGCAUUGCGUGGCCCUCGCCGCUGCCCUUUGACCCGGCCUCGCUGGCUGAGCUGCUGCUACAUGUGCCUUAUUCUCCCCUUCUGUCCCGGCCUCGCUGGCCAGAGAUGCAUGUGAAAAAGGAUGAAAAUUAACACUCACUAGGUUAGUGGCGAUAGACCACAAUCCAUUGCAUUUGAACGGUUUUCAUGAAUAAAAUCCAUUAUAAAUUGUCUGUAAACCACCUUAUUUUUUAACAUUAAUUCCAGUAGAUUGUAAAGGAGAGAAG